AGUACGCAUGACGGGUGUUCGAGGUCUUGCGUUUUUGGUCUUCCAAAAGCGCGAGUCUCGUUCUGAGAAAUUACCGUUAGAACUUGAUCUGGACAAUACCAGCGAAAGGACAUGCAUACUUCAUCCC
rnacentral:ncRNA from 1 species